UAAAUGGUAAAUAAGGUUGUUUUUGAAUCUCAACAACAAACAACAAACACCAUAUAUUCCUACAUUAUAAGAUGUAAAAUGUACACAACCUAUACCACUACCUCUAGAGAAGUUGUUUUUGAAUCUCAUAUUCAAAUAAACAUAAUCAUGUAAAUUGAGAUGGAUAAUGUUUGUUUUACAAUUAUCUUGUCUUAAAUUUCCCAGU
rnacentral:lncRNA from 1 species